rnacentral:rRNA from 1 species
AUUGAAAGCUAGCGGGAUGCUUUACACAUGCAAGUCGAACGAGUGGCGGACGGGUGAGUAAUAGAUCGGAACGGGCCCAGUAGCGGGGGAUAACUACUCGCAAGAGUGGCUAAUACCGCAAACUAUUGAAGCGGCCGAUAUCGGAGUAGCUAGUUGGUGGGGUAAAGUCUCACCAAGGCAACGAUCCGUAGCUGGUUUGAGAGGACGACCAGCCACACUGGUACUGAGACACGGCCCAGACUCCGACGGGAGGCAGCAGUGGGGAAUUUUGGACAAUGGGGGAAACCCUGAUACAGCCAUCCCGCGUGUAUGAGAAGGCCUUCGGGUUGUAAAGUACUUUUGGCAGAGAAGCGGUAUCUGCAGAAUAAGCACCGGCGAAAUACGUGCCAGCCGCCGCGGUAAUAC